rnacentral:tRNA from 1 species
GGAGGGGUGGCGGAGCGGCUACGCGUCCGCCUGCAGAGCGGAUACACGUGGGUUCAAAUCCCACCCCCUCCU